AAAAAAAUUAUCAAUAAUUAUAUUUCUACCCCUAUAUUUUCAUGUAAAUAAUGAAUAUUUUCUCCCCCUUUCUGUUUUUUAUAAGGCACAAUAAGAAAUAAAAUGGACUGAAACUUGAUCACAGUCAUACAUGUAUUCAAAAUUGUCUUGUAAAUGUUGAUGAGACUAAUCUUAUCAUAAAUAUUUAAAGGAUGUAAUUGGUUCCAUGAUAUUGAUAAGUACAUUUAUGAUAUUCUAACAAUAUAUAUUUAAAAUUGCAGAGAUUGUAAGUUGCUGCUAUUCACAUAAAUUUAUAAUGUAUUCAUUAAUGGCUGAUCUCAUCUGAUGUGAUGUAAUCUGAUCCUCAAAGUUUUGGAAUAAUGAUUUGUAAAAUCCCAUUUCUGCAUCAAAGAAAACAUAUCCAAAUUAGUAUUCAAAAGCUACCAUA
rnacentral:misc_RNA from 1 species